AGCAGCCGCGGUAAUUCCAGCUCCAAUAGCGUAUAUUAAAGUUGCUGCAGUUAAAAAGCUCGUAGUUGAAUUUCGGGACCGAUAUAUCGGUCGUGCCUCGGUACGUACUGGUAUUUUCGGUUUCUCCCUUCUGAUGAACCUUGAUGUCAUUAAUUUGGUGUCUUGGGGAAUCAGGACUGUUACUUUGAAAAAAUUAGAGUGUUUAAAGCAGGCUCACGCUUGAAUACAUUAGCAUGGAAUAAUGAAAUAGGACGUUUGAUUCUAUUUUGUUGGUUUCUAGGAUCGACGUAAUGAUUAAUAGGGAUAGUUGGGGGCAUUAGUAUUCAAUUGUCAGAGGUAAAAUUCUUGGAUUUAUUGAAGACUAACUACUGCGAAAGCAUUUGCCAAGGAUGUUUUCAUUAAUCAAGAACGAAAGUUAGGGGAUCGAAGACGAUCAGAUACCGUCGUAGUCUUAACCAUAAACUAUGCCGACUAGGGAUCGGAUGAUGUUAAUUUUAUAAUGACUCAUUUCGGCGCCUUA
rnacentral:rRNA from 1 species